rnacentral:lncRNA from 1 species
CCCGGACGCGCUGGGCGCCCGGGCCCGAGGUCCGCGGGAGAUUGCGCUCCUGGAGCAGCGAAAACGGCCGGAAAACGAGGUGCCGUGAAUGAUAUCAAGGAAGGGGCGUAGGGCUUCGGGAGCCUCGUCUGCUUGUCAGCAGGUGGGGGAUGGGGGAGGCGUGGGUGUAAUGGGGUCGUGAAGUACCCUCGAGCUGCAAACGUCGAUUCGUUGACGGUGAAGGUGAGGGUAUGGGAAAAGGAAGGAAAGGGCCAUGGAGUAGAAAGAAGGCUGAGCAGAGGUUCAGAGAUGUCAGAUGACUUCCUAGGGACGGAGGAUUGCCAGCAGUGUGUGCGGCCACGAGCGUCCUGGGAGAGACGGGUGCUCAAGAAGCAGUCAGCUGCAAAGGGGAACAAGGGUCAGAUGCAAUGAGGACUUUGGGACAUUUUCCUGAAGCUGUAGGGAGUAUGGACAGAUUUUAACAACAGAAGUGACAUGACAAAAUUUGUGUUUUAGGAAGGUGGCUCUGACAGCAAGAGAGCGGAUGGGCAGCGUGGAGAGGUAAGAAACCGGGUGCUGUGACCCAUUGGUAAACAGCCGCCACGGUCCAUGCUGGAGGUGGCUUCCCAGAUGGGAACAGAGAUGGGCAUGUGACAAAACGUUAGUGAUAGACUGCAUUAACUAUGAAAUUCUUUCAACUUUAUAUACGUUUGAAGUUUUUCAUGAUAAGUUGCUUGAAAAAAUAAACUUUACUGGAUUAGUAAUUAAUGCCACAGAUACUCACCUGAAAGAGAAAAAAACGAAAAACAAUUUUUAAAAGUUACUUUGAUUCAGCUGCAUGUAAUCACUGCAAAAAAAUGAUAGCGAGCGUUGUAAGCAACCUGGAAUAAUUAAGUCUCCAUCAGAAAGCACAUAAGCCCAUCCAGAUUUUAAAAGGCUUGAACCUCUAAUCACCUUGCAUUAUUUUUGAACUGUGGAGGGUGACAUUUCUAACUCAGAACAUGUUUUUCAAGAUAGUUCCGCCGGUGAUCGUCUGCCUCCCCCUCCCACUGGUGAUCUUGAGAAGGAUGGUUCAAAACACCAAAUACCCAGAGAUGAAACAAUCUCAUACGUACUUUGUAGCCAUGUUAUAAUUAAGGGAAGACAUCUGUGUCAGUUAUGAAUGACCUAAAAACGAAUUUCUCUAGGACAAGGCUCUAAAUUUUUACAUCACUAACUGGAAAUACUUGAGCCUGGACGCCUAAUAGGAGAAGAUUUUGAUACAGUACUGUGAGUAAAGGUUUAACAAACCCCCUUUCUUCUCUACAGACAGAUUUCACUUUGGGUUGCCUUUUUAACUUGCCCUAGAAACCUGAUGAAGUCACAACGUCAACUGUGUUAUAAAACAUCCUUGCUUGUGUCGGAAGUGCUCUGUGACUGGUACACUGCUUCUGGCUGGACAAAACGGAAUCAUCUUUAAACACCUGUCAGGGAGCCAGAACUUGAGGGUCUCCCUUCACUGAGUUUGGGGAUGUAAAAGGUAAAUCCAGGUAACUAUUAUGAGAUGUGCAAGUUCCCACGGUCUAGGAUUCUAAGCCAGGGCAGUCCCGACGCCUUCAUCUUGCACCUGAGUUGCAUCUGGGGAACCACAGAGCAGCUCUGUGAGGAGCUCACGUGUGCUUACGUGGACUGCAAAGGGGAGCAUCUCAGAAUGCCCCGCUCCCAACGUGUGUUUUUUCUUUAACUUUUUAAAUGAAGCUGCUGCCAGGUGUCGCGGUACAGGAGGAUAAAUGGUCAACCUCAGAAGAUCUCCUACUGAGCAUUUAACAAUUUCUUACAUCUCCCCCUGAAAAUCUUACAGGUUCCGCUUCACUUUCAGUUAAAAGUGAAUAUAGAAGCCUUACUCUUCUGUCAACAUGGACUGAAAAGUCUAGGGCCCCAUCCUCCUGCUAUAAGACAGAUUUUGCAAAAAAAAAAAAAAAAGAUUGUUGGAUUGCUGGGCUUUAGAAAUUAAAACAAAUCUCCAGGGGAUCAAGAAAGAAGCAGGGAGGUGGGGGAGGGCGUGAGCUAUAAAUAGUGAGGGUGUAAGAAAGGCAGGUUUCCCUGAGGGAAGGUACCCCUGUUAGCACUGCCAAUAGGAAAUAAGCCCUUGGGCCUCUGUGGUGGUGAGAAUAUGAACGUGAGGCUCCCGGUUUAAGCCAGCGAUCCUGGAAGGCCUUCCUCAUAUUAUGCUCCCCUGUUUUUCACAGUUUAAGGUCAAGCAACUGUGGGGGGCCUCGGUGGCUCAGUCAGUCAUACAUCAGAUUCUUGAUUUCGGCUCAGGUCAUGACCUCAUGGUUCGUGACGUUGAGCCCUGCGUCGGGCUCUGCACUGACAGCACGGAGCCUGCUUUGAUCCUCUCUCUCUCCCUCUCUCUGCCCCUCCCCCACUCACACUCUCUCUCAAAAUGAGUGAACUUGAAGGAAAAAAAAGAUCACAAAAUACACAGAAGAAACCACAAUAAUUGAGAGUUGAAAAAAUACAAUCUGUAGAUUGCCCUCCCAAGGAGCUCAGAUACUGAAAUUCUCAGAAACAACACUACGUGAAAUGUUUAAGGAAAUGAGUUAAAGUGAGAAGCCAGCAGGAGACCCCCACAGUGACCGGCGAGCCGCUCUGUAUCGGUCCCCUCCUUUGCAGCCUUCUCUUCUGGAACAAUCUUAUCCUCAAGCCAUUAGGUGACGCCGGUGGUGAUACCGACAGGGGCAGGGGAGAUGGAGAUGUCUUUGCUGACCCACAUCUGAGCAUCCGAACCCAGGCUCCUUACGAGGGCUGUCCGCUAUGGGAAGUGAGAUCAAAACGGGAGGAGUAUGUCCUUGCGGAUUGGCAGGCUAGGGUAAGGAGUCAGCUUGGCAGGAUGAGGCGCUGGGGUCAGUGCGACAUGGAGAGUCCCGGCCCGGGCAGGACAGGAGGACGCCACCCCGGGGUGGGGGCCGCGUGUGAGCUGGCUGUAGCAGCAGGCGGUGAACUGGGACAUCGGCAUGCCAGCGCUGUGGGAGGGUUUCCACGCUGCUGGGAGGUGGGGCCCAGGAGGUCAGAGCUGGGUGCGAGUGGUGAGAGCAUCUCCGUGGGCAGCAGAACCGCGGUGGGGACAGCCUGCCGCUUGUGAGCAAACAAACUGACCGCUCUCGCCGUGAUGACCGUUCCUGGGACGGCCUGCAGGCGGGGCCAGGGUCUGCAGACAAGAGGGAAGGAAGGUAACGAGGUUGACUUAUCUUCAUGACUGUAGGUGAUCUGUAGGAAGAGAGUUCUUGUCGGAAGUUCACACUGAGGUACUUGUCAGUGAUGCAGCCUCAACUCAGAGGCUUAUUCUCAAAUGGUGCAAAGAAAAGGGUUUUAAUUUACUGCAUGUUGAACUUUUCGGUAAGUUUUUUGUUUUUGUUUUUGUUUUGCUUUGAAACAAAAAAGAUUAUUAAAAACAAAAAAAAGGACUAAAGAGAAUGUUCAAAAAUGUAAUUGGUAGAGGCGCCUGGUUGGCUCAGUUGAUUCAGCAUCCAACUCCUGAUUUUGGCUCAGGUCAUGCAUGAUUCCACAGUUUGUGAGUUCAAGCCCCGCAUCAGGCUCUGUGCUGACAGUGUGGACCCUGCUGGGGAUUCUUGCUCUCCCUCUCUCUCUGCCCCUCCCUGUUCAUUCUCUCUCUCCCUCCCUCUCUCUCUCUCUCUCUCUCUCUCAAAAUAAAUAAAAACUUUUUAAAAUAUGCAAGGGGCACCUGGGUGGCUCAGUUGGUUAAGCGUCCAACUCUUGGUUUCAGCUCAGGUCAUGACCUCACAGUUCGUGAGGUGGAGCCCCGCGUCGGGCUCUGCACUGAGCAUAGAGCCUGCUUGGGAGUCUCUCUCCCUCUUUCUCUGCCCCUCCCCUGCUCGAAUGUUCUCUCUCUCUCAAAUAAAUAAACUUAAAAAAUUUAAAUGUAAUUGUUAAAUAGUGAAGGAAUCAUGGGUGUGUGCCUAUGUCCAAAGUCAUCAAAUUGUGUACAUUGAAUAUGUGCUGCUUUCUGUGUAUCAACCAUACCUCAAUAAAGCUAUCUU